GACACCUUUAGGAAAGUGUAUCUCCCAUUUUAUUUUCGAUGACACCUUAGCAAAGUGGUUAAUGCGGCGCCCUGCUAAGGCGUUCUCUUCGGAGGCGCAGGUUCGAACCCUGCAGGU
rnacentral:tRNA from 1 species